UACGGGGGGGGUAAGCGUUGUCCGGAUUCAUUGGGCGUAAAGCGUGCGUAGGUGGCGUGUUAAGUGUGAUGUUAAAUCGUGUGGCUCAACCAUAUCGAUGUGUCGCAUACUGGCAUGCUAGAGGGAAGCAGAGGCAAGUGGAAUUUGUAGUGUAGCAGUGAAAUGCGUAGAUAUUACAAGGAACACCAAUGGCGAAGGCAGCUUGCUGGGCUUCUUCUGACACUGAGGUACGAAAGCGUGGGGAGCGAACAGG
rnacentral:rRNA from 1 species